rnacentral:rRNA from 1 species
AUUAGAGUUUGAUCCUGGCUCAGGAUGAACGCUAUCUACAGGCUUAACACAUGCAAGUCGAGGGGCAUCAUGUCGGUUGCUUGCGACCGAUGAUGGCGACCGGCGCACGGGUGAGUAACGCGUAUCCAACCUUCCGCACACUAAGGGAUAACCCGUCGAAAGACGGCCUAAUACCUUAUGUUCUCCACGGCAGACAUCUAAUGUGGAGCAAAGAUUCAUCGGUGUGUGAUGGGGAUGCGUCUGAUUAGGCAGUUGGCGGGGUAACGGCCCACCAAACCGACGAUCAGUAGGGGUUCUGAGAGGAAGGUCCCCCACAUUGGAACUGAGACACGGUCCAAACUCCUACGGGAGGCAGCAGUGAGGAAUAUUGGUCAAUGGGCGAGAGCCUGAACCAGCCAAGUAGCGUGCAGGACGACGGCCCUAUGGGUUGUAAACUGCUUUUAUGCGGGGAUAAAACGCGGGACGUGUCCCGCCUUGCAGGUACCGCAUGAAUAAGGACCGGCUAAUUCCGUGCCAGCAGCCGCGGUAAUAAU